GACGAACGCUGGCGGCGUGCUUAACACAUGCAAGUCGAACGGAAAGGCCCUGCUUUUGUGGGGUGCUCGAGUGGCGAACGGGUGAGUAACACGUGAGUAACCUGCCCUUCACUUUGGGAUAACUUCAGGAAACUGGGGCUAAUACCGGAUAGGAGCUCCUGCUGCAUGGUGGGGGUUGGAAAGUUUCGGCGGUUGGGGAUGGACUCGCGGCUUAUCAGCUUGUUGGUGGGGUAGUGGCUUACCAAGGCUUUGACGGGUAGCCGGCCUGAGAGGGUGACCGGCCACAUUGGGACUGAGAUACGGCCCAGACUCCUACGGGAGGCAGCAGUGGGGAAUAUUGCACAAUGGGCGGAAGCCUGAUGCAGCAACGCCGCGUGCGGGAUGACGGCCUUCGGGUUGUAAACCGCUUUCGCCUGUGACGAAGCGUGAGUGACGGUAAUGGGUAAAGAAGCACCGGCUAACUACGU
rnacentral:rRNA from 1 species